GACGCGUUGUAAGAAGAAAAUAGACGCUGGCACGUCUUCAUUUACAACGUAGCGGGUAUCCACCCGGGUAGCUGAAAGCUGAAUUCCUGCCCUGGACAUUGCGAUCACUUGUACACAUCUUCCUAAACAUAACGCAUCGCUGGGAGCUACUUAAUUCGACAAAUUAUAUUGAGGCCUUUUUAUAGUUAUUCUCAAUGGGACGUAGUCAGUCAUUCUGGCUAGGAGUCCUUGUAGGCUUGGUAUUGGCCUACGUCCUCAUGGCGGUCCACGUGCUCAAGAUCGCGAGCACACCUACCCAAGUGCAUAUCUUAAGUCACGUAGGACGCUCCAAUCACUUAAUCAACAAGUAUGGCGAUGAAGACGAAGCCUUGGCCUCCCCAGAUGACACUUUUCAAGAAGAAGAAAUCGUUGCAGUACGAGCACCUGUAGGAGAACGAGUGGCUAAGCUAGAGAAGCGAGUCCGGCACAUCCUGCGGGAAAAUCAACGGCUCCGCAAAGUGUGGGCAUUUUCCAGCAGAACAUGGGUGACAUGGUGGAACUUGCCAGCCAAAUUCUGGAUCAGAAAGUAAUUUUCACAGAAAUCUUGGCCACGCAGCUCCGGAACCUCACCAACCAAAGUACCGCAGCGCUGAAGGAAGUGUGUGAGUAGCGAAAUGGGAGAAGCCAACCUCGAAGACAUGUGUCUGCAAGCUCUGCGUAGCAAAUAAUCUGGACAAACAUGGGUAUCGGGUAAAUGUGUAAAUGCCGGUACACGUGAUAGAAAUAUGAUAGCGAUACUUAUCUUGUUAAUCCGAAUGACUUAUAUAACUCAGGAAAAAUUAUGUCUUUUAGGGUACGCCUGUUCCUCGCUUCUGAAUCUCAGAACUCGGGAUACUGUUCGAUACUUUGUACUAAAAGCAAUCUUGAACAUAUUUUCGCGUACAAAUUAAUAAUAAAAUGUAACUGUUAAAACACAUUGACAGGAAAACUAUUAAAAUAUCUUUCUAAGAGUGUAUAUCAAGUUUAAGUAUUGAGCUUGUCCAAAAGGCAUCAAACACAAAGUUAACGACAGUUUCCGUGUCACAGAAAUCUAGGUAUAACACUGUUUCCCCUUGUGACAGUUUCUUUGUACUUACAAUUUAUAUUAUACUGAAUAAGAGUUGAUAAACCCAUAAA